rnacentral:rRNA from 1 species
UACGUAGGGUGCAAGCGUUAAUCGGAAUUACUGGGCGUAAAGCGUACGCAGGCGGCUUUGCAAGACAGGUGUGAAAUCCCCGGGCCUAACCUGGGAACUGCAUUUGUGACUGCAUAGCUAGAGUUUGUCAGAGGGGGGUGGAAUUCCACGUGUAGCAGUGAAAUGCGUAGAUAUGUGGAGGAACACCGAUGGCGAAGGCAGCCCCCUGGGAUGUGACUGACGCUCAUGUACGAAAGCGUGGGGAGCGAACAGG